rnacentral:rRNA from 1 species
GACGAACGCUGGCGGCGUGCCUAAUACAUGCAAGUCGAGCGAAGUUUUUCCGGUGCUUGCACUAGAAAAACUUAGCGGCGAACGGGUGAGUAACACGUAAAGAACCUGCCUCAUAGACUGGGACAACUAUUGGAAACGAUAGCUAAUACCGGAUAACAGUAUUUCUCGCAUGAGAGAUAUUUAAAAGUUGGUUAUGCUAACACUAUGAGAUGGCUUUGCGGUGCAUUAGCUAGUUGGUGGGGUAAAGGCCCACCAAGGCGACGAUGCAUAGCCGACCUGAGAGGGUGAUCGGCCACACUGGGACUGAGACACGGCCCAGACUCCUACGGGAGGCAGCAGUAGGGAAUCUUCCGCAAUGGGCGAAAGCCUGACGGAGCAACGCCGCGUGAGUGAAGAAGGAUUUCGGUUCGUAAAGCUCUGUUGUUAGGGAAGAAUGGAUAUGUAGUAACUAUACAUGUAAGAGACGGUACCUAACCAGAAAGCCACGGCUAACUACGUG